GUCACGAUGGCGGAGUGGUUAACGCGCUGCCCUGCUAAUUCCUCUACACUCUGAGGGUUAGCAUGCUAGGCAGUUCCUUCGGGAGCGUAGGUUCGAAUCCUACUCGUGACG